CUUAUGCACUGCACAUCUACCUAUUGAGAUCUAUUCACCUACAAAAUUUCAUGUUGAUAUCUCUUAUAGUUUUAGAGUUAUGCCCCGGACAAGAUUUUUCUAUAAGGGGAGAUAAUUCAAAAACCGGGCAAAAUAGAGUUAUGGUUCUUUGACACUGCACUCCCCCUCAAUGCCCUCUACCACUGUAUGAAGUUUAAACAAAUUAUCUCCAAGGGUUUUCAAGUUAUGCUCCGGACAAGAAAACGGACGGACAGACGGACGGACGGACAGACGGACAAGGCGCCGACUAUAUGCUCCCCCGAAAUUUUUCGGGGAGCAUAAAAAAAUUGAAAA